rnacentral:rRNA from 1 species
GACGAACGCUGGCGGCGUGCUUAACACAUGCAAGUCGAGCGGUAAGGCCCUUUCGGGGGUACACGAGCGGCGAACGGGUGAGUAACACGUGGGUGACCUGCCCUCAGCUCUGGGAUAAGCCUGGGAAACCGGGUCUAAUACUGGAUAUGACUCCAUGACGCAUGUUGUGGGGUGGAAAGCCUUGUGCGGCUGAGGAUGGGCCCGCGGCCUAUCAGCUUGUUGGUGGGGUGGAUGGCCUACCAAGGCGACGACGGGUAGCCGGCCUGAGAGGGCGACCGGCCACACUGGGACUGAGACACGGCCCAGACUCCUACGGGAGGCAGCAGUGGGGAAUCUUGCGCAAUGGGCGAAAGCCUGACGCAGCGACGCCGCGUGAGGGAUGACGGCCUCGGUUGUAACGU